GAUGAACGCUGGCGGCGUGCCUAGUACAUGCAAGUCGAGCGAACGGACGAGAAGCUUGCUUCUCUGAUGUUAGCGGCGGACGGGUGAGUAACACGUGGAUAACCUACCUAUAAGACUGGGAUAACUUCGGGAAACCGGAGCUAAUACCGGAUGAUAUUUUGAUCCGCAUGGUUCAAAAGUGAAAGACGGUCUUGCUGUCACUUAUAGAUGGAUCCGCGCUGCAUUAGCUAGUUGGUAAGGUAACGGCUUACCAAGGCAACGAUGCAUAGCCGACCUGAGAGGGUGAUCGGCCACACUGGAACUGAGACACGGUCCAGACUCCUACGGGAGGCAGCAGUAGGGAAUCUUCCGCAAUGGGCGAAAGCCUGACGGAGCAACGCCGCGUGAGUGAUGAAGGUCUUCGGAUCGUAAAACUCUGUUAUUAGGGAAGAACAUAUGUGUAAGUAACUGUGCACAUCUUGACGGUACCUAAUCAGAAAGCCACGGCUAACUACGUG
rnacentral:rRNA from 1 species